rnacentral:rRNA from 1 species
GUAGUCUCGCACAGAUGCAUAUCAAUAAGCGGAGGAAAAGAAACUAACAAGGAUUCCCCUAGUAACGGCGAGUGAAGCGGGAAGAGCUCAAAUUUUGAAAUCUUAAAGGGGUUUCCCUUUACGAAUUGUAGUUUAAAGAAGUGUUUUCUGUUGAGGUUUUGGUAAAAGUUCUUUGGAAUAGGACAUCAUAGAGGGUGAGAAUCCCGUAUUUGACCUUUACUUUCAACUUUGUGAUACACUUUCAAAGAGUCGGAUUGUUUGGGAAUGCAGUCCAAAAUGGGUGGUAAAUUUCAUCUAAAGCUAAAUAUUGGCGAGAGACCGAUAGCGAACAAGUACCGUGAGGGAAAGAUGAAAAGAACUUUGAAAAGAGAGUUAAACAGUACGUGAAAUUGUCAAAAGGGAAGCGUUUGACACCAGUGUUGUUUUUCUGAAAAUCAAUUAAAGAACUGUUUAUGCUAAGCUGUUUAGACUUUAUCAGCUAACUGUUUAGUUUUGAGCUUUUCUUUAAUGCACUUUUCAGUUAACAAGUCAACAUCAAUUUCUUUUGCUGUAAAAAAGCUUGAGGAAGGUGGCUUGAGAUUCGUCUUAAGUGUUUAUAGCCUCUUGCCUAUGCAGUCGGAGAGAUUGAGGUCUGCAGCGUAGAUCCUUCGGGGCUAAAUGCAUUUGUGCUAAGUUAUAACAUUUUAUAGACAACUUGUUGACUAUGAUUUGUCUUGUAGCUUACUCGCUUAUGUUAUUUUACCUACGCUUAGGAUGUUGAUCUGUAGUGCGUGCGUC